UCCCAGGUGGCUCAGUGGUAAAGAAUCUGCCUGCCAGGCAGGAGACUCAGGUUCGAUCCCUGGGUGGGGAA
rnacentral:tRNA from 1 species